AUGGGUUUCUCCGGUGCUCUGCAAUGGUGGGAUGGAUGGCACCUGCGCGUUCUGACGCUGGGCAGCCUCUUCAUCCAGUACUUCCUCUUCUUCUCCGGCAUGGUGCGCAGGCGUGCUCUUCCAGCUUGGCUCAGGCUCUUCAUCUGGCUUGCCUACCUCGGUGGGGAUGCUCUGGCGAUAUACGCGCUCGCCGCCCUCUUCAACCGCCCCCGGCAGCCACCCGGCGAUGGGAGCGGGAGCGGCCUGGAGGUCGUAUGGGCGCCUGUCCUCCUCAUCCACCUCGGCGGCCAGCACACCAUGACUGCCUACAGCAUCCAAGACAACGAGCUGUGGGUGCGGCAUGCGAUAACCGUGGCAUCCCAGAUCACCGUCGCCCUC
rnacentral:rRNA from 1 species